CCUCACUGUAGAACCAGGUACCACCUCACUGUAGAACCAGGUACCACCUCACUGUAGAACCAGGUACCAGCUCACUGUAGAACCAGGUACCAGCUUACUGUAGAACCAGGUACCAGCUCACUAUAGAACCAGGUACCAGCUCACCGUAGAACCAGGUACCAGCUCACCGUAGAACCAGGUACCAGCUUACUGUAGAACCAGGUACCAGCUCACUAUAGAACCAGGUACCAGCUCACCGUAGAACCAGUUUCACCUGACUGUAGAAACAGGUUUUUGCACUUAAACAUAGUACUUAGCAUCAUUUAGCGUUUUAUCCUAGCUAUCUUUGUUGCAUACGGGGAAUGGGUUAACCAUAACGAUUGUUAGUGCUUGGCACUUGUUUCUAUGAACAUCCUUACUGUACCGACAGCGAUAUACGUCGUUUCUCUUUCUUCUGACAAAUGUACUUGUGUGCAUGAUGUGUUCAUGUGCAUGUGUAUGUGUGUUUGCGUGUCCAUGUGUGUGCAGCUGGACAACGAGAGUUUCCAGGAACAGGUGAUGGAAGAACUCCAGGGUCUGAAGGCUUACGUCACAGGCAGCGGCUUCAAGCAUUACCAGCUGAUCUGAAACCAUGAUCGGCGGCCAUCUUGCUCCUCAGACUCAAUCUUCCUCUUUGCAAACCUUCUUAUUAAAUUCAUCAUGUGAUAAACGGC
ensembl:lncRNA